AUUGAACGCUGGCGGCAGGCCUAACACAUGCAAGUCGAACGGUAACAGGAAGCAGCUUGCUGCUUCGCUGACGAGUGGCGGACGGGUGAGUAAUGUCUGGGAAGCUGCCUGAUGGAGGGGGAUAACUACUGGAAACGGUAGCUAAUACCGCAUAAUGUCGCAAGACCAAAGAGGGGGACCUUCGGGCCUCUUGCCAUCGGAUGUGCCCAGAUGGGAUUAGCUUGUUGGUGGGGUAACGGCUCACCAAGGCGACGAUCCCUAGCUGGUCUGAGAGGAUGACCAGCCACACUGGAACUGAGACACGGUCCAGACUCCUACGGGAGGCAGCAGUGGGGAAUAUUGCACAAUGGGCGCAAGCCUGAUGCAGCCAUGCCGCGUGUAUGAAGAAGGCCUUCGGGUUGUAAAGUACUUUCAGCGGGGAGGAAGGGAGUAAAGUUAAUACCUUUGCUCAUUGACGUUACCCUCAGAAGAAGCACCGGCUAACUCCGUG
rnacentral:rRNA from 1 species